UCCCAGGUGGCUCAAUGGUAAAGAAUCUACCUGUCAAGCAGGAGACCCGGGUACAAUCCCUGGGUUGGGAA
rnacentral:tRNA from 1 species